CAGAUUAGUUGAGGUGGAUGCAUGGAUGCUGAUGUCAGCUGAUGUCAUGUCCCGAAGAUUUCUAGUAGGGCUUGACAGCUGGUGAUGGAGAUGAAUUUGAAGGCGAUAAGAGUGGACCAGCAUAGGCAGAGUUUUGGACAGUGGACAAAACGGACUUCGCAGCCACAGAACACAUGAG